rnacentral:lncRNA from 1 species
UUCCAGAAUUUACCUGAAUCUGCCCACUGCUCUCCAUUUUUCUUGAAGGAGGACUACUUUGCAGAUGUCUGCAGUAUUUCUGGAAACAAACACGAGAGAAGACAAAGAACAAGGAUUCUUAUCCGAGGCAGAUAAUUCAGGAAAAUAAGACUGCAUCUGACGAGAAAGUGGACUGAUGAUGGGACCAGUGCUCCAGUUCUCAAACCGUCUUGAAGAGAGAAACAAUUUACCAGUGGUGGUCCAGCAGAGAGGCAGCAGUGAUAGCUCCAAAACAAGGAAAAAAGACUCUGGGUUCAUUAACAAACUGUUCAGGUACCUCUGUUGCUAUUAUACCUAAUCACAUCUGCCUCUCCAUGUUUUAGUCUUCCUCUCUGCCAGUAAAAUAACUUGUGAAAACAUCUUUCUGUUUUCAUCUGAAGUGAUCUGUGCCUGUCUACUUCCCACAUUUUCC